GACGAACGCUGGCGGCGUGCUUAACACAUGCAAGUCGAACGGGCCUUGUCCCCUUUUUUUUUGGGGGUGGGGUUAGUGGCGAACGGGUGAGUAACACGUGAGUAACCUGCCCCUCACUUCUGGAUAACCGCUUGAAAGGGUGGCUAAUACGGGGUGUUCUGGCCUGCUCGCAUGGGUGGGUUUGGAAAGCUUCGACCGGUUUUGGUUGUUUUGGUGGGGGAUGGGCUCGCGGCCUAUCAGCUUGUUGGUGGGGUGAUGGCCUGCCAAGGCUUUGACGGGUAGCCGGCCUGAGAGGGUGGGCGGUCACACUGGGACUGAGACACGGCCCAGACUCCUACGGGAGGCAGCAGUGGGGAAUAUUGCACAAGGGGCGCAAGCCUGAUGCAGCGACGCCGCGUGAGGGAUGGAGGCCUUCGGGUUGUGAACCUCUUUCGCCAGUGAAGAAGGUCCUGCUCUUUGUGGUGGGGUUGACGGUAGCUGGGUUAAUGAAGCGCCGGCUAACUACGUG
rnacentral:rRNA from 1 species